rnacentral:rRNA from 1 species
GACGAACGCUGGCGGCGUGCCCAAUACAUGCAAGUCGAGCGCAGGAAACUGACGGAACUCUUCGGAGGGAAGGCAGUGGAAUGAGCGGCGGACGGGUGAGUAACACGUAAGGAACCUGCCUCAAGGAUUGGGAUAACUCCGAGAAAUCGGAGCUAAUACCGGAUAGUUCAACGGACCGCAUGGUCCGCUGAUGAAAGGCGCUCCGGCGUCACCUUGAGAUGGCCUUGCGGUGCAUUAGCUAGUUGGUGGGGUAACGGCCCACCAAGGCGACGAGGCAUAGCCGACCUGGGAGGGUGAUCGGCCACACUGGGGCUGAGACACGGCCCAGACUCCUACGGGAGGCAGCAGUAGGGAAUCUUCCACAAUGGACGAAAGUCUGAUGGAGCAACGCCGCGUGAGUGAUGAAGGUUUUCGGAUCGUAAAACUCUGUUGUAAGGGAAGAACACGUACGAGAGGGAAUGCUCGUACCUUGACGGUACCUUACGAGAAAGCCACGGCUAACUACGUGCCAGCAGCCGCAGUAACAC